GGGGGGCCUACAUGGCCAGUCCGACGGGGGUCAUUAAGGAAAAUCCUUCCGGGAUCCGGAAUUUCCUUGACCUAGUGGCGGACGGGUGAGUAACGCGUGAGCAAUCUGCCUUUGGAUGGGGGAUAACAGCCGGAAACGACUGCUAAUACCGCAUAAUGCAGCGGGACCGCAUGAUUUUGCUGCCAAAGAUUUAUCGUCCAAAGAUGAGCUCGCGUCUGAUUAGCCAGUUGGCGGGGUAACGGCCCACCAAAGCGACGAUCAGUAGCCGGACUGAGAGGUUGAACGGCCACAUUGGGACUGAGACACGGCCCAGACUCCUACGGGAGGCAGCAGUGGGGAAUAUUGCGCAAUGGGGGAAACCCUGACGCAGCAACGCCGCGUGAGUGAAGAAGGCCUUCGGGUUGUAAAGCUCUUUAAUCAGGGACGAAGAAUGACGGUACCUGAAGAAUAAGCUCCGGCUAACUACGUGCCAGCAGCCGCGGUAAUACGUAGGGAGCAAGCGUUAUCCGGAUUUACUGGGUGUAAAGGGCGUGUAGGCGGGCCUGCAAGUCAGAAGUGAAAUCUGGGGGCUUAACCCCCAAACUGCUUUUGAAACUGUGGGUCUUGAGUGAUGGAGAGGCAGGCGGAAUUCCCAGUGUAGGGGUGAAAUGCGUAUAUAUUGGGAGGAACACCAGUGGCGAAAGCGGCCUGCUGGACAUUAACUGACGCUGAGGCGCGAAAGCGUGGGGAGCAAACAGGAUUAAAUACCCUGAUAGUCCACGCCCGUAACAAUGGAUACUAGGUGUGGGAGGUAUUGACCC
rnacentral:rRNA from 1 species